rnacentral:rRNA from 1 species
GUCUACAGCCACACCACCCUGAAUGCGCCCGAGCUCGUCUGACCUCGGGAGCUAAGCAGGGCUGGGCCUGGUCAGUACUUGGAUGGGAGAAACUUUUGCUUCCUGACUACUGAUGACA